UUGGGUUUUGCUAAUGCAAUGCACUUUAAGUCUGAUUACUCCAGCCAAGUAGACAAAAAUAAGGUGCUGAUGGAUGAGAGAAGCUCAACAUGGAAGUCUUAAUGAUCCUCCGAAAGAAGCUACGACUACAAUGCGGCCCGCGAAAAAAACGAGUUUGACACCCCUGGUGUAAAGAAAUGCUUUGACAGCCGAAGACCAUGCAGUAUGAUUAUACCUUCGAUGGCGUGGAGGGUAUUCAGAGAGGAGCAGAAGUUAAAAUGAGACAUGAGCAACGCUUUCACACAAAAAGCCAAAUCAAGAUGAAUUACAAAAGCCUCAAUCAGCAGAGGCCCAAGGCGACUGUAACUAAUUACCUGAACAUUAACAUCAGAUGAAGAGUGAGCCAAGAUUUCAUCUUUCAUUCCUCCCACAAGCUUGAUCAUUUUAAUUUUGCCUUGACGAAUCCUCCAUGUGAAUGUUACUGCUUUGAAAAGGUAUUUAACAUUUAUAUUUUUUCAAAUGCAUUUAUCUUUUGAAAUGACUCAUUUUCGCAAUACAAGUUAGGAAAAAAGCCUCCAGAGUGAGUAUAAAUCACAAUUUGGGGGGAUUUUUUUUCCCCCAAAUUAUUUGGGGGAUCCCUGUUCCCUAAUCGUGGGUGUGUUCAGAGAAAUGCUAUGAGCUCGAACUGCUUCAAUUGCAGUCAGCGCAACCAGACUGCAAUUGAAGUAAUGGCAUCAGCAUCAAAGGCACUUUCAGAUGAUGUGUUCUUUAGAACAUGCAUACUGAAAGCUGCAGAAUUCGAUUGUCCAGAGAAACGACAACAUUAGUCUAAAGAGAGAAAACGUUAUCACAAACUUCUAGUAUUACCUCAAGUGAAAAAGCAAGAGCAUUGCAUUUUUUUACACACGCUGUAGUCAUUGAUCCAGCAAAAUUAUGAUCGGGUGAUUUUAUCUGGAGCAAACACAUGCCAGACAUGUCAGCAUCUUGUACGGUGAAGCGGAAUAUAAUUAGCGAU